rnacentral:rRNA from 1 species
GAUGAACGCUGGCGGCGUGCCUAAUACAUGCAAGUCGAGCGAACAGACGAGGAGCUUGCUUCUCUGACGUUAGCGGCGGACGGGUGAGUAACACGUGGAUAACCUACCUAUAAGACUGGGAUAACUUCGGGAAACCGGAGCUAAUACCGGAUAAUAUAUUGAACCGCAUGGUUCAAUAGUGAAAGACGGUUUUGCUGUCACUUAUAGAUGGAUCCGCGCCGCAUUAGCUAGUUGGUAAGGUAACGGCUUACCAAGGCAACGAUGCGUAGCCGACCUGAGAGGGUGAUCGGCCACACUGGAACUGAGACACGGUCCAGACUCCUACGGGAGGCAGCAGUAGGGAAUCUUCCGCAAUGGGUGAAAGCCAGACGGAGCAACGCCGCGUGAGUGAUGAAGGUCUUCGGAUCGUAAAACUCUGUUAUUAGGGAAGAACAAAUGUGUAAGUAACUAUGCACGUCUUGACGGUACCUAAUCAGAAAGCCACGGCUAACUACGUG